UAAAAAAAAGUGUUGCCAGGUGCCGUGACUCACACCUGUAAUCCCAGCACUUCGGGAGGCCAAGGUGGGAGGAUUGCUUGAGCCCAGGAGUUUGAGACCAGCAUGGGCAACAUAGCGAGACCCUGUUGCUACAAAAAAUCUAAAAAAAAUCUAAAAAUUAGCCGGGCGUGGUGGUGCAGGCCUGUAUAUUUGUUUAAUUAGCAGAAACGAUCUGUGAUCAGAAUCCAUGUUUAACGACCUGGCUUACAGCCAAGCUCAACACAUUUUCCUUCAGGACUGUUUUUGGUUUUGAACUCAGCAAAUUCAGCUCUGACCUUCAUCCUGGCUGGGGGAGGGGAGACCCCCCACCCUGCUCAGACCCUGGGCUUUUUAUUGAAAGGCAGUGCCAGGCACACUCUGAUGGGUCUUGGGGGAGACCAAGGGCGCCCUGCUCAAUGUCAGCCCUGACUCUGUGCCACGUGCACUCAGCUCUGCCACGGAGGUGCAUGGCUCUGUAGGCGUGGACCGUGAGCUGGGGAGGAAGGUGGUCUUGGAGAGAAGUGCCCCGUGCGGAGCUGAGACCUGUGUGUCAUGGGGUCAUCCUAGAUGUGGCUUAAAUCCACACGGCUGUGGAAGCCCCAGGGUGCACCGAGGGUC
rnacentral:lncRNA from 1 species